GAUAACUCUCGACCUCUCGUUCAUUCCUCUCGACCUCUCAUUCUGUCGUUCACAAGCCAGUGAGACACCGAUCAACAAUAACCGAGUGAGACACCGAUCAAUUCACCUCCAUCAAGGCACAAGGCCGAGUGAUCUGCAAUUCACCUCUAUCAAUUCAGCUCAUAAGCAUCACCGACACCGAGAGUCUGAGAGUAAAGCUGUGGUGGCGGACGCACCGAUCGAUUGCAAUUUCCCAAAGUUCCUGGUCAUCAAUUUCAGUUCACCGAUCGAAUUUCUGGGUUCGAUUGCUCUCCAGCCUCUCCUUUGCACUCCAGCCUCUCCUCCUUUGCUCUCUUCCAUAUUCUGACCUUCUGGGUUCGAUUCUUCAACCUUCAGUCGAAGUCUUGCUUGGACGCUUGAUGAUCAAUGUCAUCGGCAGGCCUCGUCGUCGUCGUCGUCGAAUGUCGGGAAGUUUCCGGUGGCGGAGCCCAGAUUGGCCAAGAAGCGAGCGCCGUUGAGUAAUCUGACGAAUCGGAGCAAUGUGUCCAAUAGUGCUUCGAAGAGCUCGUUGGUACCAUGCGCAAGUAAGAUUGCCAAGGUGAAAAAGGGUUCUCCUGCUAGCGCCAGUAACAGAGGAAGUAAUGUACCUGCUUCGUUCAAUGUUAAACCAAGUGCAGUUGUUCUACCAAAAGUUACUUCUAUCCAAAGGAGUGUUGAAGUUUUCCCAAAGUUUACGUCUGCCCAAAGGAAUGAAGAAGCUGCUCCUAGCUCCAUUGCCAAAAUUAUCCCAAAAUUAUGCAGAUUUGGUCUUCUUUCAGUUCUUUGAGUUGCAGUUUGCUUAUUAUAUCAUGUUUUUCUUCUUGUUUAGGUUUAGAUGCAGCUUGCUUUAAUGGAAAUGUAGAAAUGCAUUAGCUUUAGUUGCAACUUGCUUUGAUACUUUGGUCUUCUUUGAGUUGUAGCUUGCUUUAAUGGAAAUGUAGAAAUGCAAAACAGGGAAAUUGAUGAAAGUGCAGGAGAUUUUUUUUU